rnacentral:rRNA from 1 species
AACGUAGGACACAAGCGUUAUCCGGAGUUACUGGGCGUAAAGGGCGUGUAGGCGGACCUAUAAGUCUAUUCUGAAAGCUCCUGGCUAAACUGGGAGAGGCGAAUGGAGACUGUAGAUCUAGAGUGAGGAAGAGGAAAGUGGAAUUCCGCGUGUAGUGGUGAAAUGCGUAGAGAUGCGGAGGAACACCAGUGGCGAAAGCGACUUUCUGGUCCUUAACUGACGCUGAGGCGCGAAAGCAUGGGGAGCGAACAGG